rnacentral:lncRNA from 1 species
UAGGUACCUGUAUUUUCCUGGAGCGUUCUUUAUCACCUUCUUCAAAGGUUAACUCCUCAGAUGUUUUUAUGAUUCCCUGGAACCGUCCCACUGCCAAGGCAGAGUUUCCUUUCUGUGUGUCCCUUGAGGACCAGCUGUAAAGGCAACUGUAGAACACCCCAUGUUGUAUUGAGAUGAUUUUUUCCUCGGUCUUUCUUUCCAUCCCUCCCCAUGGUAGGCACUGAGCUGAACUGCCCUAUCACUUGAAAUAUUUUGCGUGUAAACCCAAUUU